AAGGCCUUUAUUAACCCCCUGGAGCCAUAUGGAUUAUAUGCCCAAAUAUUAUUUUGGGCAUGUAAUCCAAAAAAUUUUCAUAAAUGACAUUAAAUUUUGGUCUGUUCAUUUGCUUUUUUAGCUUCAGAAGAGAUACAAUACUAUUUGUUUUGUUUUUUAACCUUGACAGCAAAUAUCCGCUUUCGCUUUCAUUUUAUGGAAAACCUUUAACGUCUCACUUCAAAGCAGUGUGAAUUUUACUGUGAACUUCCUCAUUCUUUGGUUAAGUCGAAAUAACAUUGUAUAUUGAAUACCCCUGAACUACAGUACUCUUCAGCAAGUACUUUCAAAGGCCUUUGCUUGUUUCCACAGAUCCUGAGAUACUCUUAUCUAAAUUGCUCCUUAUCCUCAAUUGACAAAGCAAGAAUCCAGAAUGCAUUGUGCUGAGGAAAAGAUGAGUUUGCAGACUGAUAAAAUUCUUGUUUUUGGAUAUGAGCUGUGAAGCGGGGUGGCUUCUGGAAUUCACUGCUGCUUCUAUAUAUAUAUAUAUAUAUAUAUAUAUAAGUUAUAACUUAUUAAUCCAAGUUAUUAAUCCACAUUUAUCCUUCUAAUUAUUUGAAUGACUUCUUCAACGUAUGUUAAAGCAUUUAUUUUACUUUUCAUCUUCAAACAGAGUGUCUGUACCUCUUACUCUGAGUGUUGAGAACAUGUUAUCAGUAUGUUUUGGGGAAAUGUCCUGCUCAACCAACUUCAACCUUAAAGUAGCUGUGUAUCUGUGUGCUAAUAUCCUUUGUUACAGAUCAGCAUUGGUGAAAUUAACAACUGACAACUUGCACCCUGGAUGAUUUUUCAUCAUCAACAAAUUGGCACAUAAAAGAGCAGUUCUAUGACCUCGGAGGUCACUCCGUGCCUAAACCAGGGUUUUGUUGUCAUCUGUAUAAUCUAUGGAGACAUGCUUAUUUCUAUUACUCCUUGUGAGGACAAUUUCUAACUUUAUCUGUUUUUUAACCAGUCAGAAUCAUUUAACCUGAGGUAAUGACGUAGUUAGUGGACUCUGUAUUGUUGUGGAAAUGUGAAUGUAUGCAGAGCGGCCUACGAACUCCUUGUGAGUAUUGAAGCUGACUUCUGUGGAUGAAACGCCAAACUAUUCUUUAGUACAAUUUUCUUCAAUUCAUUUUUUUUUUAAACUCUGACUCCGGGCCUUUAUUCAUCAUAUCUGGUCUUUGGCUCUUUAUCUGUGAAUUCCCCUACAGCUGUGUGACAGUACUGCCACAGGAUACCAGCGGUCACACGGAUUGUUCUUGACUUGAGUUUACUUCCUUUGAUCUGAGGUGGAAGGCAGCUGUCUGGCUUUCUGUGAUUGUAAGUGAAUGUGAAAGUUUUUGCCCACCUCUGCAGCGUCAUUUUUAAGACUUGGAUUUGCCCUUUGACCCCCCAAGCACUAGUUUGAUUAUAACCCGGACACAUUUUAAAGACUCUGUUGCGGUCAGCUGUUGGCUUCUGGGAUUGCUCUACGCAGAGCUGAAGGGAAGCAGCAGGAUUUAACCAAGUGUGGUCAGGAGGAAUGUGAGCGCAGUGCCUGGGGCCUCGCUCAGGAAUGCUGACCACUAAGACAGACACUUAUAGAAUAACUGUGGGAAAAAGAACUGUUUAAAUUCUGAUUCUAACACCUCUUCAUGUUUAAACUGACAGUUACAAAAGAAUUCUAAUAAAUGUUCUUUUGAAAAUUCUUCAAAGAAUCCUGAAAAACAAAUAUCACGCCUUACUCAAAAACAUUAAGUUUUUUGUUGUUUUCAACAUUGAUAAUAAUAAGAAAUGUUUCUUGAUCAGCAAAUCAUCAUAUUAACAUGAUUUCUGAAGGAUCAUGUGACACUGAAGACUGGAGUAAUGAUGCUGACAGGUAAUAAAUUAUAUUUUGUUUGUGCGUGUGUAGGCAAGAAGCAAUAGGAGAGGAGAUCUAACAGGAUCAAGUAAAUCAAACUAAGGCUAUGGCUAUGGCUCCAAAAUCUUUUGACCUCUUCCCUAAUAAUUUCAACCUAUUCCAAUUUCGUUAGCAUUUUAUUUUACAGUCCUGUUCCACAUGUUAUAAUGUACUUAUUAUAACAAUAACAAUAACUGGGUUAUAACUAGGUACUGACCCUGAUCCUAUCCCUAAACCUAACCUUAACUCAUGUAGUUACCAGUACUUUUUGGGUAACUACACUGUAAUUAAAAUGUAAGUGUAUGUACUGUAAAAUAAAGUGUAACCUCAGUGUCAUUAUGUAACAUGUUUCCAAGUAAAAGAAACUGUAUUCAGUGAGAAAAGUAAUGUAGGACGGGGCUUUGUGUUCACCAUAACUGAUUGGAUCAGUGAAAAGUGGGCGUUUUGUUCUAUAAAGGUGCCAAUCCUGAAUGUGAGUGUGCUAAAACAAUGCUAUUAACAUGCUUUUGUGCCCUUUUUUAUCCCCAUUAAAACUAGCAAAACAGCUCCAUUUGUGUUUCAUGCAUGAGAUAAAGUCUUAAAGGUUUGGAACGACAUGAGGGUGAGUAAAUGACAAAACUUUUAAUUUUUCUGUGAACUAUUACUUUAAAUUCUUGUCAUGCAGGUUCAGGAAUUUUCACCUAUUUCUGAAAACCAACUCAUCCAAAGACAAAUAACUCACAGAGCUCAAAUAAUGUGUAUCUACUAUAAUUUCAGUAACUAGACCACCAUCAUUGUGCACUACAGCCGGCUUUGCCUCCGGCCAACCCUGGAGCAAAGGCUCUCCCGUAUUUAAAAUAUUUUUGCAGCUCCUUGAGUGAUAUGGCCCUGAACCUCAGACAUUCAACACAAUAGAAUUGAGUGUUUGUGUAUCCGAGGCAGUUUUUCAUCUGUCAUUUUUCUGGAAAUAUGAUUCCUACCCUACUGGCAGACAAACAGGCCCAGGCUGUUAGUUUUGCAGUAGUUGCUUUUUGCCAAGGCCUGGGAAGCACGUGGAAGGAUGUGUGGGUGGAUGGAGAAAGAAAAAAGAUAGAGUAAUAAAGAAAAAGAGAAAAGAAGGAGAGCGGAGCUGCCAAGGAAAGCUACCAAACUCACUGGUCAACAUCAGUCAUUAUUCUCAAGACUUUGAUGUAAUUCCUCCCUGUUUUCAGACUUUAGGACAGGCGCCCAUAUCCACAUGAAUCAGGCUUUUCUGUGUAAAAUAAUCCUCAAAUCAUUUGUCAUACCAAUCCCAAUGAUUGUUUUCAAAGACAGAAUUAUAAGCACCAGCAGAGCUUACCAAAGAGCUACUGGCUGCCCUUUCCAUGUUAAACUAACAUCAGUUAUAAAAGUAGAUCUUAGAUCGAUUUCAUGGUUUCAAAAUUAUUAUUUUUUUUUUGUAAUGGCAGUUCAGGAAUGAAAUGUAUGGUGAGUGGAGCUAAAAGAUUAUUGCUCUGUCGUGUUUGAAAUUAACAUAUCACCUACACUAAACCUAAGCAAUAGUGUUAACAAAAGCAUACGUGAGAUAACACAUUUGCUGUCGCAACUAUGCAAUUUUAGCUGCUUCUACAAGUCUUUGAGCUCUUUUAUUGUGAGUCAUGUUUCAUGGGACUCAUUCUCAAGCGCUCUGAAUCUCAAGAGCAACGCUGUACCAGAUGAGCUAACGAACAGUUUACUGUCACAAAAACAAUAAUACAUAUGGAGUUGGUAAUGUAAUGCAAGUGUCAAAAUGUAUUUGUGUUUUGAGGGCAUUUUGCAAGGAACUGCACGAAAGUAAGUCUUUAUUAAUCGAUAAUCUGCCCCUGUAAUCAUAAUUUGCAUGAAAAUUAAUAAAAUGCAUAGAUGUUUUACUGCCACUAGUGUUCAUUUCAACUGGAAACUGCUGGAUUAUAUGUAAAAGUACAUUUUAUGGCUUAGAUCUCUCCUUCAGUGAGAUAUUUUCUCCUGUUUUAUCACCAUCCAAGCAAAUACUGUAAAUAUUAUCACAGAAAAGCAAUAAUGCACCUUUCAAUAAGCUGCACGGUUUGAGGUGUCACUCAUGUCUGUGGCAUUAAAGGGUUAGUUCACACAAAAAUGAAAUUUCUGUCAUUAAUUACUCACCCUCAUGUCAUUCCAAACCUGUAAGACUUUCGUUCAUCUUCAGAACACAAAUUAAGAUAUUUUUGAUGAAACCUGAGAGCUUUCUGUCCCUCCAUUUACAGCUACGCAACUACCACUUUGAGGCUUCAAAAAGUUCAUAAAGAGAUCGUAAAACUAAUCCAUGUGAACUGAGUGGUUUAGUCCAAAUUUUCUAAAGAGACUUUAUAUGAUGAACAGAUUUAAUUUAGGCUUUUAUUCACAUAUAAACAUUGAUCAGUGAACAUAAACAUAAGCUCAACGGAACAUGAUUGACGUGCAAGAAAAAAACUCUUGAAGAAGCUCAAACGUGCUGCGUAACACACAAGAAUGAACCACAUUGGCUCUCGCACAUUUCAAACAAACAGCUUCCGUUUACCAUAACUAAUGUGUGAGUUGAUGAAUAUUUAUAUGUGAAUAGAAGCCUAAAUUCAAUCAGUUCAUAAUAUAAAGCGACCGUGUCUCUGAUUUCAUCAUUUGUGUUCCAAAGAUGAACAAGACGGGUGUGGAACGACAUGAGGGUGAGUAAUUAAUGACAGAAAUUUCAUUUACCCAGCUAAAGUUUUCUUUAGCCCUAUGUUUAGUACAUUUUUCGUUAAAUGAUUACAACCAAUUAGAAAGGUCAAAAAAGUACCAAAGAACAGUCCAGUAAGGUGUGGGAGUCACUAUCAAGCACCAUUUAAAGGUGGGAUGUCCUGUUUUGACACAUAGUCACAGGAGCACAUGGUGUGAGUAGAAGGCAAGAUUAUUUGCUUUAGUAAUCUUAUUUAAAAUGAACUCUACAUAAAAAAAUAUGUGUGUGUAUGAAGGUGUAGAGAAGCCUUUUAUCAGGUUUUAUGAAGUUUUUUUUUUUUUUAUUAUUUUGCAUGUUCAGAAAUUCAGUUUUUCUUUUUGUUGCCUCAGGGCAACGUUGUGCGAUAACGGGUACUUUUUGAGGAUGUUUUGGACAAUACCUCACAUUGGCCAUAAUGUGUUAUAUGAAGGGAAGAUGCAGGGUUCCUGGGUGUGCAGGAACACCCAAAGUGAUGUGCUAAAAUUGUAACGUACACCACUGUUUCACAGCAGAGAAGAAGUGCUUUUUGAAGUUUCGUACGGAGUGAAAUCUUAUUACAUGAAGUACAUUAUAUGGCAUGACACACUACAUGAUACAUUGAGCAUUGUCUUAUGAUAAUUUUCUCUCUGAUUCUGUACUAUUGUUGCACAAUGUUGCUGUGAGACAACAAAAAUUAUUUUGGGGUGGGGGGAGGGUGGGUCAAAAAAAUGUUUUAUCAAUAAAAUGUUCCCAAACGCACCAAAAAAUGAUGUGGAAUAUUUUUUUUAUCUGCCAUCAACAUGUGUGCAGUAGAGGGUUAAUGGUGCAAGAGUUGUUCAGCGCCAAUAGCAGUAUUUAAAUACUGCGUCAUGCAUAUUAAAGAGUUUUCGUAGAGCUGAUUACUCAUAUUACUCAUUUACAGUUAUUCACCUGAUUCAGAGAUUAUUCACAUUUCCAGUAUUUACUUUGAAGUCAAAUGUUGACACACUUCACAUCUGCCAUAUUUGCCAACAAAAUCUAUUUUUGAAAAGGCAGUACUUGCUUUACAUUUGCAUUAUGUUUGAGCAUUUUAGUUAAAAUAUAGGAAUUUGAGUACAACAUGACUAAAAUGUGAAAUGUAAAAUUUUAUAUUUGUGAAAAUGUGAUUUUUUUCUUUCUUUCUGAUACUCAAGUAUAUGACAUUAAAAAAAUAUGUUGUUAUUAAAUAUUUACAGGUUUUUUUCAACUGCUUACACACAAAAUCCUUACUUGUCAGACAAUUUCUGAAACCUGACACUCAAACACUAGAACCACAUGCCAAAUCUGCAAAACCAUACGCUAAUUCUCGGCCUUUGACUCGGUUUUCAAUUUCAUAAAACACUUUUUGCAAAACAUAACACACAAUUCUCUAUUUAACACACAAAUCUAACAGGAAGUGUCUUGAUUUCCUUUUUCAAACACAACCAUUGUUUCUGUACUACACAUGGUUGAUGUAUUUCUUUUCUUUUGUUCUGUGUAAUACUGUAUUCACAACCACAAAUGCUUACAGUAAAAAAAUAAAUAGUUUGGUUUCAAUCUUA